rnacentral:rRNA from 1 species
AUUGAACGCUGGCGGCAUGCCUUACACAUGCAAGUCGAACGGUAACAGGUCUCCGCUUGCUUUUGCUAGGCGGAUGGGCGAGCAAUAUAUCGGAACCUGCCCCACCGUGGGGGAUAACGCACUGAAAGCUUUGCCAAAACGGUAAAGGAUCUACGGAUGACAUCAGCUGACCGCUAGGCCUUGCGCCCCCGCACCGGCGGAUGGCACUCUAGGUACUUUGUAGGUUAAAAGCCUACCAAGCCGACGAGCUCUAGCUGGUCUGAGAGGACGACAAGCCACACGGGAACUGGGACACGGCCCAGACUCCUACGGGAGGCAGCAGUGGGGAAUUUGGAACAAUGGGCGCAAACCUGAUCCAGCCAUGCCGCGUGCAGGAGGAAGGCCUUCGGGUUGUAAACUACUUUCAGACGGAACGAAAAGAGUCUGGUUAAUACCUGGACUCGAUGACGGUACCGUAAGAAUAAGCACCGGCUAACUUCGUG